UUUAGCCUAGAGUCAGAGAGACCCAGAAAUCUGGAGCAUGAAGCUCUGAGCAGGAGUCUAAAACCAAACAUCAAAACCAGAUGGAAACAACAACAACAAAGAAAGCAAGCUAAGUGAAAAAAAUGAUGUUUCUGGGUUCAGGACACAAUAAUGCUUGGUUCAAGCGCAGCAAAGGUCAGUGAGAAGAAGAGGUCCCUCCUUUGCCUGCUGUUCCAUAUCCAAGUAUGGUUGCUGAGGCACAGGAAGUAAUGAGACACUUUCUUCAUUUCAUCCCCAGCUGUGAUGAACCAAAUCUGGUCUCAGGACAAUUGCAUGCUCUCUUUGGAGGUGACAUCAAGUUUGACAAGCAGAAGAAACAGUAGAAGGAAUAAAAUGUUUUGCAAACACUUGUUCAUCACAUAUUGUUAAAGAACACACACACUGCAUUUAUAGUAUAUUAUAAUCUCUUUCCAUGUUAUAUUAUCCCAGUGGAAAACUCUCCAUAAUAAAG